rnacentral:rRNA from 1 species
GAUGAACGCUAGCGGCAGGCCUAACACAUGCAAGUCGAGGGGCAGCACAUAAAGUGGUUUACUACUUUUGGUGGCGACCGGCGGACGGGUGCGUAACGCGUAUGCAACCUGCCUCCAACAGGGGGAUAACGGAGAGAAAUUUCCACUAAUACCCCAUAAUAUCAGAAUCGGCAUCGGUUUUGGUUGAACACUCCGGUGGUUGGAGAUGGGCAUGCGUUGUAUUAGAUAGUUGGUGAGGUAACGGCUCACCAAGUCAACGAUACAUAGGGGGACUGAGAAGUUAGCUCCCCACACGGGUACUGCAACACGGACCAGACUCCUACGGGAGGCAGCAGUGAGGAAUAUUGGUCAAUGGGGCAACCCUGAACCAGCCAUGCCGCGUGCAGGAAGACGGCUCUAUGAGUUGUAAACUGCUUUUACAAGGGGAUAAAUCGGUGUACGUGUACACCGUUGAAGGUACCUUGGGAAUAAGGAUCGGCUAACUCCGUGCCAGCCGCCGCGGUAA